UGGGGAAUAUUGGACAAUGGGCGAAAGCCUGAUCCAGCCAUGCCGCGUGUGUGAAGAAGGUCUUCGGAUUGUAAAGCACUUUAAGUUGGGAGGAAGGGCAGUAAGUGAAUACCUUGCUGUUUUGACGUUACCGACAGAAUAAGCAUCGGCUAACUCUGUGCCAGCAGCCGCGGUAAUACAGUGGGUGCAAGCGUUAAUCGGAAUUACUGGGCGCAAAGCGCGCGUAGGUGGUUCGUUAAGUUGAAUGUGAAAGCCCCGGGCUCAACCUGGGAACUGCAUCCAAAACUGGCGAGCUAGAGUAGGGCAGAGGGUGGUGGAAUUUCCUGUAUAGCGGUGAAAUGCGUAGAUAUAGGAAGGAACACCAGUGGCGAAGGCGACCACCUGGGAUCAUACAGACACUAAAGUGCGAAAGCGUGGGGAGCAAACAGG
rnacentral:rRNA from 1 species